ensembl:ncRNA T08G2.7 ncRNA
GUACACAUAUAUCUAUACUAUGUGGAUUUAUGCGUUUUCUCACCUACUAAACCAUCAAGAAACAUUGAAAGAGUGUGAGAAGCUUCUGCUUUUCCUCUCCCCUCGUUUUCCUUACAUUUCAUCUUCAUCUU